CCUGAUGGGCCUGGCACGGGUGCUGGGUGUGCCUGGUGUGUGCAGGCUCCGUGUCCCCUCCUGAAGCAGCCUUGUCUGCCCCCUACUCUUUCAGCCCCCACCCCAACUUCCCUACCCUUUCUCUUCCUUCAUGCUUGGCUCAGAGUCUUCAUCCAUAUGGCUUCUGUGGGCAAAGGCCUUCCCUGGCUGGUGGCCUGCUGCAUCUCAGUUCCAAAAUUCUGGGCUGGACUCCUCCCUAAUCAACAGUGGACUCUGCCUAGAAAAUAAGUUUUGCCAAGGAAGGAAGAACCACUUCGUUGCUGCAAGUUGUGGCAGAGGAGAGACAAGAGAGGCAUCCUGAAAACAUGCAGAGACUUAAAUCAGACAGAGCCAGUGUGAAAUUCUAGCGCCACCACUUAAAUAGAGACCUGAGAAUCCCUGCCCUCCUGCAUUCACGUGAGAGGUGACAAUUCAGAAGGAAAUACAUGUUUAAGGUCAUAUCGAAUGACAUGCUGUAUUUCGCACAGACCUCCUUCUUCUGGAGCCUGAGGAAUUGUCAUCAAGGUUGGCGGCAGUGAGGGGCUAACAGAGGUGUUAUAGCCAGAAGACCCAGAAAGACCUAAGCCCUCACAGCCACUACCCACAAGGUGCCAGAGGGAGGGUCAGAGGAAGAGCAGAGAAGAAAGAAGAGUCACAUUUGAUGGCAGCUGGGUGUGGGCUCUGUGCGGCAAACUGAGGUCAGAGGACUGAGCUUAGGGGCCUUAUUCUCCCCAAAUCUCUGCUCUUCCUGUGCUCUGGCCAGCCGCGUGGAAGAACAGGGGAGAGCGCAUCACCUGGGCUGGUGAACCCACCUGCUACAAGAACAGAAGAGCGGGACCCACCAGCCACCCCACCCUGCCCAGCCCGGAGCUUUAGGAACAGUGACCACACCCACUUGCAGGUAUGGGCCAAUCAGUGACCUGCAGUCUAACCAAUCUGCCGAGCAUUCUCCCUCCUGGGGACAGAAUGGCAGGGGACACAUGCAGGGAGGGAGCCCUAGCAUGUCUCCUCGUACCUCUGGAGUUCCCCAGCACCCAGCACAGCAUGGAGACAGUGGGAGCCCCAGGGCCUUGUUGGAUGAAUUUGAUACCAGUGCUGCCAGAGUGAGUGAUGGUCUGGGUCUGCUCUCACCUCUGGGUCUAGACCUGGAAUCUUUAGAUUGGGCAGAACUAACAUCAGAGUGAUGACCCUAACCCUAACCCCUAACCCCUAACUCCUAACCCUAACAGGCAGGCUCUCCCUGCCUCCCUGCGAGCACUGACACAGCGGUACCUACUGGGCUCAGAGGAUUCAGAAGGGAUGCACAUCAAGGUUCAAGGCCCAGAGAUCCUGACUCCCUUUGGGAGACCAUCCCAGGGGAAAUGGAUAUUACAGCAUGGGAGCCAAGAGGAAGGAAAGCCCAAGAAGCUGAAAAAAAUCAGGACAGAAGCACUGGGCAGUGGAAAAAUACAGACUGAGCGUGAACGUGACCCUCUCCGGUUAGGGAGAGAGGAUGCUAGGAAGGAGGCCACGGGGACCUGCGGAGGCAGCUGUACAAAGGGGACUUUCAAGAGUUGCAUCAACCAAGGAACUGAAAUCCCAGACUCCUGUCUGCCCUGCCGGGUGCUGGGGCUCUGGUCGGCUUCCCCAAUCCUCUCUCCUGAAGUAGGGCUUUAGUUCUGCUGGCCAUGUAGAGGCAAUGAGCAAUGCUUUUGGCUCUUCUUCAUCUUGGGGUAGGAUCUGGGGCCAGGGCUGCCUCUUAUUUCUCUCCCUUACUCUGAUGUCAACUCCCGCCCUGUCUAGAGAUUCCCAGUCCUCGACUCUGGGGUGGGGCCAGUUUUAUUCUCAUGACACUGGGCCAGUGGUCAGAGACCCUGGACUCCACCUUGAAGAAGUCAGAAUGGGACCAGCAGGUGGAUUUGCCCUCAUACCAGGACACUGCCUCUGCCGUCAGACUCAUGGAGGUGUUCAUGCAAGUUCUGAACAGAUGCCCGCGGCUGCCAGGGAUGUCCCAGGCUGUGGUCCCGGGAUUCUGCGAUUCUGCCUUCGCAGUGGUUCUGAGUAGGGUCCUAGAUAACUUGUUUGGCUUCUUUGUCCUGUACAUGUUUUGGAGGGAUUGUAAUGUCUAUUCUCCUGGUUUCCUAAAGAGCAAGCUGCCUUCUAAAUUCAAUAUAGAAAAAUCCGCGAGACAGUCUUGAUUCUUUAAAUUUCCCAUAUGGUUUUGGAUCGCAACUCCUUCUCAUUCCUUUCUCUCACCUCCAAAUAAAAAAACCCUUCAUUUGAGGAGUUUUUAAUAGUCAGGACUUGAGGCUCUUACUCUCGAAGCAGGUGUAUUUGUGUUUGCCUCUCAUCACAAGGCUGCUAAAGUUAUUAUGGAUCAGAGAUUUUGCAUAGUGAUGGUCUUUGUUCUUCCAAAUGCUUUCUUCAGCCUUAUCUCAUUUGAGUCUCACAACCCCUCUGUGAGGGAAGUUGGGUAGGCGUUUAUUUUUAUCUUCAUUUUCUGCAGGUGGGGAAAUCCAGGCACUGGCUGAUGGAGGCACAAGGAGUCCAGGGCUGAGUUGGGGUUAGAAUCUGGACUCUCCUUGGGUCCUGAUCUGCAGGCACGACCCACAGGGUGAGGAGCAAGGCUUCUGGCCUCGGAGCUGCAGACACCCUCUGUCUUCAUUCCCUCAUCAGCUCAGGGCAGUGCAGGGAAGCCAGGGAUUUCAGGGGAUAGGAGCCUCAGCCCUCAGCCAAAUAUUCUCUUACAGGAGCAGAAGCCUGAGGGUCCGGCUGUGCAACCAGCGGGGGAGAAAAGGGUCCCUGCAGACAGCCCUGCUUUCCCAACUGAAUUAAUUUCCUGUUACCUAGAUCCUACCAGCCCUUUUGGGGUGAUACUGUCUCCACCCACCAUCCUUCCUUUUCUUUUGCUUCCUGUCCCUUUGUCCCUGUGGAAACCCAGGGCAGCCAGAGCCUGCUCGGCACUUUCAAUCCCGCGGGCUGUCUCGCCGCGGAUCCUGCAGGUCGCCGCUGGGUGGCGCAGCUGUCCGCAGUGUACGGGCUUGGGUCCCGGUUCCGGAUCCAGGAGGCGCAUCUGCCUUUUGCCUCCAUCAACCCUCGGUGGGAAUGGGGCUCCUAGGGGCACCGGGAAGUGGAAGGGAAGGGAAAGGGGUGUUUUCCAGGAGCCUGAGGGCGGCUCCCAGGCUGUGGAGCCAGGUGGGGCUGAUCAAGGCUCAGAGUCUUUUCAAGAGAGGUGGAUAGGUCUGGAUGGCUGGGUUGAGGUAGGAAGGACGUCGCUGGAACCUCUUUUCUCCCAGGGAAGCCAUCUCUGGAUUAGAAUAGGCUGGAAAAUUGCAUUUCAAGAGCAGAAGAGAAAUAUGCUGCACAUGCUUUGGGGAGGUGGGAGUCUCCCCAAAUCUAAGCAAACAAAGCACUUACUACAUGGCAGGCACUUGCCAAAUGCUAAUGCCUUUAAUCCUCAGAACUACUCUACAACCUCAUUUUACAGUUGAGAGCACUGAAGCACAGCUUCCCCUCUUAGUAAGUGGCAUAAUGGGGGUCCCACCCAGGCAGGCUGGCUCUUCCACAACCCAAUCUCAGGGCUGGGAUGGGCUUCAGACCCACUCCUUCCUUAUAGAAUGCACUGGCAGGGAGGCAUGCCUGGGCAUCCAUGGACCUCUUGCUUCAUGAAUUCAUUCAUUCAGCCACUGUUGAUGUAGGGCUUGCUGCUUGCCAAGCAUUUGGGCUACAGUGGUCAGCAAAACCAGCCACAGUUCUUGUCCUUGUGGAGACCUUGUCCUUGUUGAGCUAGUUGGGGACACAGAGAUUAACUGAAUAAUCACACUAAUGGCACUUACUGAGAUCAGUGUUCUAGAGAAAGCUCCCUCUUCCUCCUGGCGCCCCCCUCCAUGUCCUCCCCCACCAGGCCCACCUGGCAUAUCAGCCCCUGUGUAUCUGCUAAGAUGCUAGCUCAGAACUAAGGGCAUAGAUGGUGACUUAACUUAGUUGCCAACCGUUUGUGACUUAGAGGGCAGAUCACAUCCAUUAUCUUGUUUGACCUUAUCCAGGAUAAGCUGGUGCCAUUCUCCUGGGGAGACAGGCUUUUUAGAAGGGGAUGCUUCAAUCCAGAAAAGCCUAGAAAAAGUCUUUGCUUUCCAACUUGGAUGUGAAUCUAGACGACUGUCACCUGAUUUGCAGUGUUUACCAAUUUCUGUGGUCUCUCUGUUAGUGGAUUUCAAGGUACCAAUAUGAUGUCACUGAUUAAGGAGUUGGGAAGAGAUGCACAAAAUUGACUUUCAUAGCCCAUGUGAGCAAGUCUCAGCACACUGGUGACAGUGUCUCUUAACUAGUUGUGUAAAUCGAGGCAAGUGAUUUAACCAUUAUAACUUCAGUUUCCUCAUCUGUAACAUGGGCUAACAAUACUGUUGGUGCAUAUAUUAAGUGACUUACUGUUGUCCCUACCUGUCUCAUUGAAUCCUUACACUGUUCUUACUCAUUCUGCUUACUUGGUUUCAUGUCUAUGUCUCCAAUAAGCUAUGAACUCCUUGAAAGUAGGGACCUUGUUACACUCAUCUUUCU